AGAAUCAACGCUGGCGGCGUGCCUAACACAUGCAAGUCGCACGAGAAAGGGUAGCAAUACCUGAGUAAAGUGGCGCACGGGUGAGUAACACGUGAAUUAUCUACCUCCGAGUGGGGAAUAACUGAGAGAAAUCUUAGCUAAUACCGCAUAACACUUACGAGUCAAAGCAGCAAUGCGCUUGGAGAGGAGUUCGCGGCAGAUUAGUUAGUUGGCGGGGUAAUGGCCCACCAAGACGAUGAUCUGUA
rnacentral:rRNA from 1 species